rnacentral:rRNA from 1 species
GCUGGCGGCGCGCUUAACACAUGCAAGUCGCACGAGAAAGUGGAGCAAUCCAUGAGUACAGUGGCGUACGGGUGAGUAACACGUGGAUCAUCUACCUCUUGGUGGGGAAUAACCCUGGGAAACCGGGGCUAAUACCGCAUAAGCCUGAAAAGGGAAAGCAGCAAUGCGUCGAGAGAGGAGUCCGCGGCCGAUUAGCUAGUUGGUAGGGUAAAGGCCUACCAAGGCAAUGAUCGGUAGCCGGCCUGAGAGGGCACACGGCCACACUGGCACUGAAACACGGGCCAGACUCCUACGGGAGGCAGCAGUGGGGAAUCUUGCACAAUGGAGGAAACUCUGAUGCAGCGACGCCGCGUGAGUGAUGAAGCCCUUCGGGGUGUAAAGCUCUUUCGGCAGGAACGAUAAUGAUGGUACCUGCAGAAGAAGCUGCGGCUAACUACGUGCCAGCAGCCGCGGUAAUACGUAGGCAGCAAGCGUUGUUCGGAAUUACUGGGCGUAAAGAGUGUGUAGGCGGUUCUCUAAGUUCCGUGUGAAAUCUCCCGGCUCAACUGGGAGGGUGCGCGGGAAACUGGAGGGCUCGAGUAUGGGAGAGGAAAGCGGAAUUCCUGGUGUAGCGGUGAAAUGCGUAGAUAU